rnacentral:rRNA from 1 species
CGGCCGAUCCGCCGCCAUCCGCCCCGGGAUGGGGGCACGGCCCAUCAGGUAGUUGGCGGGUUAAAGGCCCGCCAAGCCGAAGACGGGUAGGGGCGGUGAGAGCCGCGAGCCCCGAGAUCGGCACUGAGACAAGGGCCGAGGCCCUACGGGGUGCAGCAGGCGCGAAUACUCCGCAAUGCGGGCAACCGCGACGGGGCUACCCCGAGUGCCGGGCGAAGAGCCCGGCUUUUGCCCGGUCUAAAAAGCCGGGAGAAUAAGCGGGGGGCAAGUCUGGUGUCAGCCGCCGCGGUAAUACCAGCUCCGCGAGUGGUCGGGGUGUUUACUGGGCUUAAAGCGCCCGUAGCCGGCCCGGCAAGUCGCUCCUGAAAUCCCCGGGCUCAACCCGGGGGCGGGGGGCGAUACUGCCGGGCUAGGGGGCGGGAGAGGCCGCCGGUACUCCGGGGGUAGGGGCGAAAUCCGUUAAUCCCCGGAGGACCACCAGUGGCGAAAGCGGGCGGCCAGAACGCGCCCGACGGUGAGGGGCGAAAGCCGGGGGAGCAAAGGGGAUUAGAUACCCCUGUAGUCCCGGCCGUAAACGAUGCGGGCUAGCUGUCGGCCGGGCUUAGGGCCCGGCCGGUGGCGAAGGGAAACCGUUAAGCCCGCCGCCUGGGGAGUACGGCCGCAAGGCUGAAACUUAAAGGAAUUGGCGGGGGGGCACCACAAGGGGUGAAGCUUGCGGCUUAAUUGGAGUCAACGCCGGA